rnacentral:rRNA from 1 species
UACGUAGGGACCGAGCGUUGUCCGGAAUCAUUGGGCGUAAAGAGCGUGUAGGCGGCCAAUUAAGUCCUGCGUGAAAUCUCGGGGCUCAACCCCGAGCGGUCGUGGGAAACUGGUUGGCUAGAGUCCGGAAGAGGAGAGUGGAAUUCCUGGUGUAGCGGUGAAAUGCGCAGAUAUCAGGAAGAACACCCGUGGCUAAGGCGGCUCUCUAGUACGGUACUGACGCUGAGACGCGAAAGCGUGGGGAGCGAACAGG